GAACAAUUUUGUGCAGUUCUCUGAAGAUUUGGAACGGGAAAUUUGGCUCAUGUCCUUAACAGAUUUCAGGUCGAAAUAAGGAGAGAACUAUUCCACUUGUGCUUGGUAGCUUAAUAGAAAAAAAAAUUAAUGACUUUCAUCUUAUUUCAGCUCUGAUGCCUACCUGAGACAUGAUUUGAAAUGAGUUUCCCAUUCUUGACUCCCCUUGUUGAAGACCUGGAGAUUUAUCAAUAUCUUGCAACAACAAAGAACAUCACUCAGUGCAAUCUGACUCAGGCACUGCUUUCUUCUCCAAAGAACCAUCACAAGUCUUCGUAACGUGUAUAGAUUUAAGCAGGAUUUACACUUCAUAAACCCAAAAACUUGCAGGAAUGUUGAAAAGCACUAUGUGGAAUAACACGUGUAAAUCAUAAGUGAUGCAUGAUAGGAAGAAGGAAGAAUAGAUGGAAGAAAGGAUGGAUUCGUUAGUGGGGUGUUUGGACUCGAGACACCAUGAUCAAGUUAAGAUGAGGCCAUUGGGGUAAGUCCUAAUCCAGCAUCACUUUCCUAAAGAGGGAAUUUCAGACACAGAGACCUACACACAUGCACAAGAAGAACACUAUGAGAAGCUGAAUAGGAAGUUUGAAAUGAUUUGAAUAAGAAACCAAAGAAUACCAGAUUACUGGCAAACCCUGGAAGCUGAGAGACAUGGACAGACCACCCUCAUGGGCUUAGAGUGAACCAAGCUUUCGGACACUCUGACCUCCAACUUUCAGCCUUCAGAGCUUCAGACAACACAUUUCUGCUGUUAAAACUGAGAGAGGAGACCACCCUUCCAUAUGGAAUUGGGCAACUGUGGCUUAACUAGGUAACUAUGCUUUUGUAGAAUGUACCUGAGUAGCCAUGACAACUUCUGUAAUCUGUCACCAAAGGAGCGUAAUGGACUCAGAAAAUCCUGCCAGAACUCUUUGCCUCCCCCUUCUCCAUGGCUCUGCUUUGUGUAGAUCCUGCUUGCUAUAUUCCCAGGGCAACUUCAAUAAAGGCAUUUAGAAGGGAAAGAGGCUGCUCAGUGACUUUUGGAGACUUUGGCCAAGAUUUUGCUGAGGAGUGGAGAUGGGAGGGGAACUCACCGAUCCCUGUGAGGCACUUGGAAAAUAUAAGCAGAUACUUAAGCCACAGCUGGGCAAGUUUUGUAGGUUUGGAAUUUCAGCUUUUUCCACGGGCCAGGCAUUGAGAUUCUGGGGAAUGGACUGGAUAAGACCGAACAGGACUCUGCUCCAGGGGGGGUGAUGAAAGGCUUAUUCCCCCAUGGCCCCGCCACCCCAGUGCCCAGUACAGCAGCACAGCAUCACCAGGAUAACUUACAAGUCAUCAGGUACAGCCAUCGGUUCCAUUUCUCUUUUAUUUCCUUGAUGGGGCUUUAUUUCUUACCGUGAUCAAAGGCACAUAACAAAAUUUGCUGCUUUAAAUACCCUCAAGAGGACAGUUCAGUGGCAUCGAGGGUGGCCCCAUUCCUUGGCAGCCAUCACCACCAGCCAGCUCCAGAGCUUUUAUUAUUUUUUUUAUCUUUCC
ensembl:lncRNA